GCGGCGAUAGUUUAAGGGUAGAAUUCAAGCUUCCCACCUUUCGGGAAGCUGCUUGAGGUCCUGGUUCGAGUCCUGGUCGCCGCA